GUAGGGUCCAAGCGUUAAUCGGAAUUACUGGGCGUAAAGCGUGCGCAGGCGGUUGUGCAAGACCGAUGUGAAAUCCCCGAGCUUAACCUGGGAACUGCAUUUGUGACUGUCCGACUGGAGUACGUCAGAGGGGGGUGGAAUUCCACGUGUAGCAGUGAAAUGCGUAGAUAUGUGGAAGAACACCGAUGGCGAAGGCAGCCCCCUGGGACGCAACUGACGCUCAUGCACGAAAGCGUGGGGAGCAAACAGGAUUAGAUACCCUGGUAGUCCACGCCCUAAACGAUGUCUGCUGGUUGUUGGGAAUUUAAUUCUCAGUAACGAAGCCAACGCGUGAAGCAGACCGCCUGGGGAGU
rnacentral:rRNA from 1 species